GAUGAUGGAAGAUGGAAGAUGAAGAUGAAGAUGAAGCAGUUUCCGGAAGCUCCUGAGUAUCUUAGCUGUAAUAAUGAUACACAUAUGCCUCUUUUUUUCAGGAGAAGUUUGUUGAUGAGCUUUGUCUAGGCAUUAUUUGACAACGAGAGAGAGCACGCUUGUCGGUAGUCAUGCAAGGAUCAUGGUUGUUCUACAUGCGUGCUCUACCUCGUUGUCACGCUGUUUGCUCACCAAACAAAGCUGUUCUUUUUUCCUUCUUCUUUCCCCAUCUGCCUGCAUGCUGCCUAGUGUCUACUACAUGAAAUACUGUCCUGUGGAGAACUUAUUCGGCUUCUGAAGAACAAUGAGCCAAAAUGGUGUAAGGCUGACCCUAGCCAUAUUUGACAAUAGAGUUUAUGCUCAAAGAUUUACAUCCUUCUGAGAUAUGAUCGGAGGCUAACAGAAGCUAUCCCCGCAAGAGAUAGAUUAGACGAUCUGCUAAUGAUCGGCGGUAAUCCGCUCUGAUCAAUAGCCCUGAUAUGAGAAUCAGGUGAUCCUUUUAGCUAUCUAACCAAGGGUGAAGCUGAAGAGCCACAAUAAUCCUCGCUGCUGCUUUGAUACCAAUUCUAGUCGGAUUGAAGAAAAAAUGUGAAUGAUCUAGAAGGAAAGCACCAAAAUAAGUGAUGUAAAUAAUUUUGGCUGAUAUAAAAUAUUCUUGGGGAAAGUUGAACUAGCUAGGAACAUUUACAAUUGGACCUAAUCAUUAAAAUGUAUCAAACUUGGCCAAAAUGAACAUGAAUCUGACCCAAAGACAAUGAAGAAGAUGACAAAGAACCCUUGAAUUGCUUCGAGUCUCGAACCAGAAUGAAGCAAAAUUGUAUGGAAUUUCCUUUAUACCAUAGUAUUAUGAGAAAUUGAAUUAAACACAGCCAGUAGCGCAAGACCAAAAUCAGUUUAGAUGUCCAACACAAGUUUUUUAUCGUUUUCAUUUGUAUUUGUUGUCAAAAGUAGUAACCAACCACCCCCUAUUGGCAUGGGUUGAAUGUUCUCAGAGUUCUGGGUUGGUCAGUUGAUGUACCUUGCUUCUUGCAUAGGUAAAAUUGCCUUGGGAUUUUGUCUACUCUGAACUAAAAAUCUGGUCCUUUUAUUUUAAUAAUGUUGGUGCAUUCAGAAUUUUCUAACUAAACAAAUUUCACUUAUUUGAUGAUUGUGUUUGUAUGAUUUUGGAUAUCUUUAGCAAAUCAAUUUUAUACAUUUAUAUUACUGAAGAAUGGAGAAAAUAUUAUUAAAGAUUCAAAAGAAAUGUAGUCCUAAAAGCUAGCAUCUGUGCCGAUACCUUCCCUAUAUGUAAAGAGGAUAAUACACGAAGUUAAUUAGAUGAAGUACACAAAGCUAACAUCUAUUAAAAUACAAUAUAUGUAAAAAAAAAAAAAUCGUUGUUAUUGAUUUUCUCUUUUCUACGUAAUUUUCAAGUCUAAUAUUCUUUUUAAAAUUUGUGUUAAAGCUUAAGUUAAUCGGUGUUUAGAUAUUUCACCCUCAUUUAUUUAGUCAUCCUCUUUAUAUUAUUCUCUAAUUCUAAUGAAGUACUUGGACAUGGAAGAUUAUGCUACUUAGCCAAAAAAUAAAAAAAAUAUUAUCCUACCAUUUAUAAAUUUGUUAUUAAUAAUUAAUGUAGCAUGCAACUUUUUCUCUUCUCCUUUUUUCUUCUAAUUUAAUUAACGAAUAACAAAUUUUGUUAAGAGGAAAAGUGGAGUACAAUUAAUCGGAUUUUAAUGCAUGGUGUUAGCUACCACUAGAUAAAGCCCUCAGGGAAAAGAAAAAAAAAAGUGAUAGAGAAAACCAAAAUUCAAGACUUAGAGGAAGGAGCUAUGCCUACAGUGUAGUUUGGGAUGGACCAGACCAAGUUUAGCCAGAUGGAUGAUGUGUUUAGUCAGAUGAGAAAUCUCUCUGGAUAAACACCCAUCUUACUAGUCCACCCAACAACAUUAAGGCUAUGUUUGGAAGCAAAUAAAAAAAAAGAACUAUCA